rnacentral:RNase_P_RNA from 1 species
UCAGCAAGCCGGAUGGCCGCUCCUCAGGACCUGGGGAGAGGAAAGUCCGGGCUCCAUGGAAGCGCGGUGCCGGAUAACGUCCGGCGGGGGCGACCCCAGGGAAAGUGCCACAGAAAGCAAACCGCCCUCGAGGCUGAAAGGCCGUGGAGAGGGUAAGGGUGAAAGGGUGCGGUAAGAGCGCACCGCGUCUUUGGCAACAAAGGCGGCAAGGCAAACCCCACCGGGAGCAAGACCAAAUAGGGGCCGCAAGGACGAUCGACCGUAACGCACGAGAGAUCGCCCAGGUCUGUUUCCAGACCGGCGGCCCGGGUUGGUUGCACGAGGCGUCUCGCAAGAGUCGUCCCAGAUGAAUGGCCAUCACCUCGCGGUGACGCGAGGAACAGAACCCGGCUUACAGGCUUGGUGACACG